rnacentral:lncRNA from 1 species
UUGGCACAUUUUACUCUUCUGGCAGCUGGAGAGAGCUCUGACCUGUGUCUCAUCAGUGAAUGCUGGUUGUGACAAUAAUGAAUUUCUAAUGGCAAUUAACACAGUGACAGGGUUUAUAAAUUAUAGAUUAUGACAACACUCCCUGCGAUCUGGUUUUUUCCUUUGAAGACCACCUGGCUACCAAUAACGGUCUCACCAGCCAAAUCCUGUAUUUGUGGGCCAAGACAGAAGAAGAACAACAAUGAAAAAAAGCUGGAAAUCUUAGAGCAGACUCACAUCUUAACUAGGAGAAUACGUGCUGGCCCAAGUGCCCCAGGACUGAAGCAAAUCAGACAUAGGGGAGGAGGGAGAAUGUUAGAAUGAGGCACACCUGAUUCAGCCGCUAAAUAGUCUGGUUGGCUAAGAAUCACAAUCGAGGCAUUUUGCCUUUCUAGUUUUCUUUGGUGAAGAUCUGUGAGCAUCCAAAUGAUAUGAAGAGCAAUAUGGCUAAUCUGCACUACUUCGGAAGCCUGGGAGGAAUACUUCCUCUUUGCUGGAUGUGGCGUCUGCGUGUACCAUCUGGAAUUGCUGUAGCCAA